rnacentral:rRNA from 1 species
GUAUUUUGACUGUGCAAAGGUAGCAUAAUCAUUAGUCUUUUAAUUGAAGGCUUGUAUGAAGGGUUGGACGAGGUAGAUACUGUCUUAUGUAAAUUUAAUUGAAUUUAAAUUUUAAGUAAAAAGGCUUAAAUGUUAUUAAGGGACGAGAAGACCCUAUAGAGUUUAAUAUUUAUAAUUUUAAUUAUGUUAAAUUGUAAUUCUUGAUUAUUAUGAAGAAUAUUUGGUUGGGGUGAUUAAAAAAUAAGUUAAACUUUUUUUUAAAAUUAAUAUUAUAAAUAAAAAAAAAGAUCCAUGAAUAGUGAUUGAAAGAUUAAAUUACCUUAGGGAUAACAGCAUAAUUUUUUUUGAGAGUUCUAAUCGAGAAAAAGGAUUAUGACCUCGAUGUUG